rnacentral:rRNA from 2 species
UUAGUAGACUUCUUCGGAAAGACACUAAGCGGAUUAGUGGCGAACGGGUGAGUAACGCGUGAGUAACCUGCCUUACACAAGGGGAUAGCCUUUGGAAACGAAGAAUAAUACCCUAUAAAACUAUAAAAGCACAUGCAAUUAUGGUCAAAGUGAUAGCGGUGUAAGAUGGACUUGCGUCUGAUUAGCUAGUUGGUGAGAUAAAAGCUCACCAAGGCAACGAUCAGUAGCCGGCUUGAGAGAGUGUACGGCCACAUUGGGACUGAGACACGGCCCAGACUCCUACGGGAGGCAGCAGUGGGGAAUUUUGCACAAUGGGGGAAACCCUGAUGCAGCGACGCCGCGUGAUUUAGAAGGCCUUCGGGUUGUAAAAAUCUUUUGUAUAGGAAGAAAAUGACAGUACUAUACGAAUAAGGUCCGGCUAAUUACGUGCCAGCAGCCGCGGUAAUACGUAAGGACCGAGCGUUGUCCGGAAUCAUUGGGCGUAAAGGGUACGUAGGCGGCUAGAAAAGUUAGAAGUCAAAGGCUAUAGCUCAACUAUAGUAAGCUUCUAAAACUAUUUAGCUUGAGAAAUGGAAGGGAAAGUGGAAUUCCUAGUGUAGCGGUGGAAUGCGCAGAUAUUAGGAAGAAUACCGGUGGCGAAGGCGACUUUCUGGCCAUUAUCUGACGCUGAGGUACGAAAGCGUGGGUAGC